rnacentral:rRNA from 1 species
GAUGAACGCUGGCGGCGUGCCUAAUACAUGCAAGUCGAGCGAACAGACGAGGAGCUUGCUCCUCUGACGUUAGCGGCGGACGGGUGAGUAACACGUGGAUAACCUACCUAUAAGACUGGGAUAACUUCGGGAAACCGGAGCUAAUACCGGAUAAUAUAUUGAACCGCAUGGUUCAAUAGUGAAAGACGGCUUUGCUGUCACUUAUAGAUGGAUCCGCGCCGCAUUAGCUAGUUGGUAAGGUAACGGCUUACCAAGGCAACGAUGCGUAGCCGAGCUGAGAGAGUGAUCGGCCACACUGGAACUGGGACACGCUCCAGACUCCUACGGGAGGCAGCAGUAGGGAAUCUUCCGCAAUGGGCGAAAGCCUGACGGAGCAACGCCGCGUGAGUGAUAAAGGUCUUCGGAUCGUAAAACUCUGUUAUUAGGGAAGAACAAAUGUGUAAGUAACUAUGCACGUCUUGACGGUACCUAAUCAGAAAGCCACGGCUAACUACGUG